ensembl:misc_RNA Metazoa_SRP Metazoan signal recognition particle RNA
GCUGGGCAUGGUGGCGCGUGCCUGUAAUCCCAGCUACUCAGGAGGCUGAGGCAGGAGAAUUGCUUGAAUCCCGGAGGUGGAGGCUGCAGUGAGCCGAGAUCGCGCCAUUGCACUCCAGCCUGGGUGACAGAGCGAGACUCUGUCUCAA